rnacentral:misc_RNA from 1 species
AAGUCGUAACAAGGUUUCCGUAGGUGAACCUGCGGAAGGAUCAUUAGCAAGAUUGCGGACCUCUGCGCGCAAGUGUGGAGGCGAGCAAGUAUGCCAUCCUUGUGUUAUGUACAACUACACCUGUGCAAGAGUGUGUGUGAGUGCAGUGCUCGCACUGGCGCACGCACACACUCUGCGCAUUUUAUUACAACUCUUUCUUUUCUCUCUUAACCUCUUUUUUGCUUGGCAACAAGCAUGAAAAACAACCGAAAACUGCCAGCAAUGGAUCACUCGGUUCUC